UUCGCUUCUCGGCCUUUUGGCUAAGAUCGAGUGUAGUAUCUGUUCUUAUCAGUUUAAUAUCUGAUAUGUCCUCUAUAUGAGGACUACAUAUUAAAUUGAUUUUUAGGACAGGGAGACGGAAGAGGGGCUUGCUCCGUCCGCUCCACGCAUCGACCUGGUAUUGCAGUACCUCCGGGAACGGUGCACCUCCU
ensembl:snRNA U2 U2 spliceosomal RNA